UACGGAGGAUCCAAGCGUUAUCCGGAAUCAUUGGGUUUAAAGGGUCCGUAGGCGGUUUUGUAAGUCAGUGGUGAAAGCCCAUCGCUCAACGGUGGAACGGCCAUUGAUACUGCAAGACUUGAAUUAUUAGGAAGUAACUAGAAUAUGUAGUGUAGCGGUGAAAUGCUUAGAGAUUACAUGGAAUACCAAUUGCGAAGGCAGGUUACUACUAAUACAUUGACGCUGAUGGACGAAAGCGUGGGGAGCGAACAGG
rnacentral:rRNA from 1 species